rnacentral:lncRNA from 1 species
UGCUGGUCUUUCCCGUGCUAUUCUCGUGAUAGUGAAUAAGUCUCAUGAGAUCUGAUGGGUUUAUCAGGGGUUUCCGCUUUUGCUUCUCUCCUCAUUUUCUCCUGGCGCCGCCAUGUAAGAAGUGCCUUUUGCCUCCCGCCAUGAUUCGGAGGCCUCCCCAGCCAUGUGGAACUAUAUUUUCUAAAAGUAAAGACUUUAAAGAAAGGCACAGGAGGCUGGGAGCAGUGGCUUACAUUUGUAAUCCCAGCACUUUGCGGGGCUGAGGCCGGAGGACUGCUUGAGUCCAGGAGUUUGAGACCAGCCUGGGCAACACACAGGCUUGACUGUGCAUGACUGGAGACAGUGCGAGGUCGCCGAGUCCAUAAGCAGCAAGAAGGGCACACAGAAGGAGAAAGGAGAAGCUUGCUGCCGGAGGAGACAAACUGGACUUUACAGUGUUCUCCGGGGUGGGACCUGACUUUGACCUCAUGUAUACAGAUGGGCCUGACUGAGCUCAUCCAUGCUUAUGUCCGGGUGCUUAAGUCUUAUGGUAAUGUAUUUUUUUUUCAAUUGCCAUUGAAAGAUGUGAGAAAUGAAACAUGAAAAUAUUUAAUAAUUCAGCAUUUCCAAGUGUCUAGACUACUGAACAUAUUAUCCAAGAAAUUAUUUAGAAGAAAGGGAAAGGAAAUAGGCAAGAGAUUUUAUGAGUACUGACUAUGAAUCAGUUGUUUUCAGAGUUGUAUUUCUCACAGAAUAGAUACUAUUUUCCCUGUUUCACAGAUGACAAAUGUGAGGGUCAGAUAGAUUAGGAAACGUGCCCAAAGUUUCACAGCUAGUCAAUGAGAGAAAGCAUUUUCCAAGCCAGGUUCACUUGGCUGCAAAGCACUUACUCUUUCUGAUAUACAGCAUGCUGCCUAGAUGUUUUAGCACAUUUGGAUUACAAAAAUGUUAGAAAUAAAAUUAUGUUUGUGAAAGGAUGGGCAUUUAAAAAGCUCUGGGUUAUGGUUGUCUGUGGUUGAAAUUAUAAAAUGAUAGUUCCCCCCACACACAUACAGCAUACACACACACACACACACAGACACACACAUACACACACACAAAUGUGGGUUAUUAUGGCUGAGUCAUUGAAUUUAUUUGGAAGAACCAUCUUCUUUUGCAUGACAGAAUACAGAUGGCCAUAAACUAUUUACCCAGACAUUUUGGGGUUGAGGGAUGUAAUCAUCAUUUGAAACAAAAAUACAACUCUAGAAAUACAUAUGAAAGUGAAUUACUUUGUUAAUGUGAAAGGGAAAAGGGGGAAAAUGAAUAAAACAGCAAGAAUACAACUGAAAGGAGACUAAAAGGAACAAGGGCAAACUGUCUUUGAGCACAAGGCAUAUGCGUAUGCUACACAGAGCGUUGUUCUAGAAAUGUUUAUAAACAAUGGAUGUUUGUGGAAUGAAAAACUGAAUAGCUGUGAUAUUAAGGCUUUCCACUCCUGGGAAAAAUAUGGACACCAUGGCUUAUAAGUUAUUUGAUUCUGACAAGCAUCUUCCUACCUCCUCUAACAUUUGGUUAUAUUAACUAUAUUGGAGGCUUUUCCUUUUGUUACUCUGUGUUUCUGCCAUCUGAAAACAAUGAGCUUAAACAGCUAUCAUGCUGUCAUUUUGCCCUGUGAAUAGACUCGUUAAUAUAGAAACCUAAUGAAAUGAUUGUUUUAAAAAAAGAAAAAAAAUCCCAUUCUAUACGUGUUUUACUUCUUAAAAUGUCCCUAAAUUACAAAGAUUCUCUGAAAAGAUAAAAAAUAUCUCACAUAUUCAGAGGAUGACUUUAGCCCAUUGUUUCAGGGCUUUUUCAUGCCUUAUCUCCUUUUAAAAACCAUAACAGGCUGUGAAAAACAAAAUAAAUUAAGGAGAAUAGUUCCUUCCUUUUUAUGAUAAAUCUGCAUGUGGCGGUGACGGUCAAGUACAAACUGUAAAUAAGUGAAAUAACUCAUAACUAGUAAUAUACAGGUUAAUCAACUAUGAUUAAAAGUAAAUAGGUUUUUCACCAAGAACAAUAUCUUUAACUCAAAAUUAAAUAAUUGGCAGCAUGCUAGGUAAAUUAUAAAAUAAGGAAUUUCUAAAAGCAGAGAAUGAUGUUCUUUCUCCGUUGUCAAUCUGAUGAGUCUUGGUGACCUUUUGUUCACAUUAAUGCUGACAAACUGCAUCAUGCAUGACCGUCCCAACCCCCUUCUCCUCCCAAUAGUUCCUUCUUUGAUUCUAAUCUGUAUUCAAGGGUGUGGGGUGGGACACUUUAGUAAGGGGUGGGGGCGAGGGGAUGGCAAUGGUAGACGCUGGUCGGGGCUGUCAAUAACCUUGGAGGCCUUUGGGAAGAGCAGAGGACAAUAAUUUAUUGCAGUAUAGGAGAGACAGCUAGGAAGUAAUUCCUCCGUGUUACCUUUAUAAUUUGAGAAGGCGUCCAAAGAAAUAACACAUCAGAGUUCAGUGCUAUGAAGGAAAAAGCACUGGACAAGUUAUUUGGAUGGGUAUUCUUGGUUUUCUUGGUUACAAUUUAAGGCAAAUAUGAAACUCAAAAAGGUACCUUGGGACCAUCGUGUUCUUGGGAAGUUGACACAAGAACCACAACAGUUUAGAGAAACCCCUAAAUAUCCAUCUUAGAAAAAAAAAGUACACAUUUUUAGUUCUUAGGAGAAAGAGCAAUAGAUUUAUUUGAAUGAAAUAAUUAAUGAGUCAUGGUCCCCCAGACCUUUUUCAGGCAUGAAGCUAGCACUGAAUACUUUGUGCUUUCAAAGUUUCAAAUGACCUUCAGUUAAACUUUUAUAACAAGGUUCCUUUAAAACACAUUUAUGCUUUGCUAUUAACACUACUACCAAUAAUACAGUAAUUACUAAUAGUGGGUAGUAAUGGCAUUACAUAUGAAUCUCAGAAUUAAAAUUAGCUGUUCAUCUCCAUCCUUCCCAACAGCCUGAGAGUGUGUCAAGACAUGGGACCACACAGAAUCUUACUGUUUGUAUUUUCAACGUCUUGCGUACAGUGACAAUAAAUGAAUGAGAGUUUUAAAAAACUGUAUAUAAAGACUAUUGAGUCCUAUUACAAACACAUUGUUUACACACAUAUAAAUCUGUGCUAUGACACUAGGUAUAAGCAUACAGAGGACACCUAACUUCACUUGAAGUCUAAGUAAACACAAAACAUGGCCUACAGUGAUUUCCCUGAGUUGGAGAACCAUACACAUGUCUGGUUGUCCUUUGGACAAGCUGGUAACAUGAAAAAGAGGCAAGACCAAUGUAAACACUGAUAUAUUCAUGAUAAUGCAAAAACAUUAAGA